GUUCUUUCGAUCUUGUUUUUAAAACAAGUCUCUUCUGAAAUUGUUAUUAUUUGAACUACUUGCAGUGAACUUAGCCAGAUCAUUAAUUAAACCAUGCAUCACAAAUCGUGAUUCUUCGUGGCUUGAUCUCUCAAAGAAUGACCUUGAUAAUAAUUCUUCAAAACAUUCAAUUCUCUUCUUUCUAGUUGUUGAAGGCAAAAGACCCUUAUCUUUCCAUAACUGAGAUAAUUCAUUCCUAUCAAAUUCAUAGUCCUUUGGAAACGAGGAACAGCAAUCGAAACAUUUCUUCAAAUGGGGAGGAAGAUGAUCAUAGCUCAAAAGCAGGGUUGGAAGAAUGUUACUCUUAUUCUCGGGUAAAUCCCAUAUCUUAGAUUCUGAUAUUUUUGUCCACUCAUGAUGAUUUAAAUUAGUGCGCAACAAGCCCCCAUACGUUAUGGCUGCUAGUGGUAGGCCUUCACACUUGUUUGCUAUUUUUCUCCCAAUUGCUAGAAGAUUUGGAUGCUCACUGAAACUAGUCCUUACCAGUGCAUGUUUUGCAAACACUGAUAAACAGUCAUCAUUUGACAGGAAAUUUAAAUGGUAAGGAGAAAUGGCAUCCAUGACUGUUGAGACUCCUUUGUUUCUUGUUGUGACGAUGAUGAUGCUUCCUGGGGCUCCUGCAGCAAAGGGUUUACACAGAAAUUCCCAUUGUUUAUAGUUCUCAUUCCACACAUCAUCCAGAA
rnacentral:misc_RNA from 1 species